UUGCAGUUUCUAGUGGAUACAGGGGCUACUAUUUCAGUAUUAGGACAUAACCUUUUACCCUUUAUGCACCACUGAGGCAUUAGGUGUUAGCAUUUCAGAACUCAUGACUAGUCUCAUACCAUAUUAAGUUGGUGACACACAGGGUCAGCACUCAUUCCAAAUUUGUUAGGAGGAGACAUUUUAGGGAAAUUGAAAAUUUCAGUUCCUGCUACUGAAGAGGGGCUCCAUGUUAACUCCUUCAGUGCAGAAAUAUAUUAGCUAGUUCAUGAUGGUCCACAAAACUGAUUUUGGGUAACCCAAAUUGUAUGCAUUGCUAUGACGCUGGGCAUGGCUGGUAGUGUCUUGAUUACACUCCUGGGUCUGCCUACUACUCUUGGGAGUUAUCCACAGAAGCCCCACUUCGAGAUGCUCGGUUAUCCCAUUGCUCAGAGGCAGUGGACUGAAAAUAACCACUCCAUCUCUGGUGCACAUCUACUUUUUUGUAUAAUCGGUUGGGGGGCAAAAUGUAUGAAUCUGCUGGGUGGUUUAGACACAGGCCCCCAGAAUGUUUGACUUUGGGACACCUGUAUAAAAAUAAAAAUCUGAAAUAUGCCUUUUUCUCUUUCUCUGUCUUUCCUCCACCAAAGGUAAUCUGCGUCUAGUUGUGGUAGAGGAAGGUGGUGGUAACAGCGUGGGCUUUUUUGUGUACUUUAAGUUGAUUUUAGAUUCCGGGAUUGAUUAUGUUUACAGAUUUUGUAUUGAUAAUGGGGCCAUGAUCGCACAGGCUGGCUGGGAGAUGUUUCGCUCUGGUUAUGUCACUGAGCUGCCUGACUCUUGGACCAUCCAAAGAUACAGAACAGAUGAGGUGGAGGUCACCUGGAGAGACUGACAACUGCAUUUCAGCUGUGAAAAACAGGAAGUUGCUAGGCUGAGGUGUGAACACCUGCCAUUUUUUUCACCACUGUGAUGUUAUACUGGCAUAAAUGUCUGAUUUUGAAAAAGGGCUUUUCAUGUGUCGGUUUCUUUUCAAAUGAACUUGACAACUGUUUUAGAAGAAUGAAUGAAUGAAUGUAGCUCUUAGUACCAUUAAUGUCAUG
ensembl:lncRNA